CACGUAGGGGACGAGCGUUGUCCGGAAUCAUUGGGCGUAAAGGGUGCGUAGGCGGGUCUUUUAAGUCAGGGUGAAAUCCUGGAGCUCAACUCCAGAACUCGCCUUUGAUACUGAAGAUCUUGAGUUCGGGAGAGGUGAGUGGAACUGCGAGUGUAGAGGUGAAAUUCGAUAGAUAUUGCAAGAACACCAGUGGCGAAGGCGGCUCACUGGCCCGGUACUGACGCUGAGGUGCGAA
rnacentral:rRNA from 1 species